rnacentral:lncRNA from 10 species
CAGCAAAAGGAAGACAGGCUACUGGACAGAAAGGGACGGGUCCCAGUGAAGCCCCACCUUCAAGCCAGGGAUGGCUUCAAUCCUGGAGGCCGCGCUGUCAGUUCCGGUCGGAGUCUGUGGCCUGGAGUGAGCACUAAUGGUUCUUUUUCCAGGCCCGCCCAUGGCCACCCAUGGACCAAUCAGCAUGCACUUCCUCCCUUCUGAACCCAUAAAAACCCCGCUCCCCGGACGCAGCCGGAGUCACGCGAAGUCGGAAGUACCAGCUGCGGGAAGGAGCUGCCCACUGUGCGUCUUCUCAACUUGUUGGGACAACCUUCCUGCGGAAAGGAGAGACAACCUUCCUGCAGAAAGGAGCUACCUGCUUCAGGUCUACUGAGAGCUGUUCUGCCACUCAAUAAAGCUCUUCUCCAUCUUGCUAAGCCUCCAUUUGUCCGCAAUACCUCAUCUCCCUGGACGCAGGACAAGAACUCAGGACCCGCCUGGAGGACUGACAUUCAGACGUGGAGCAAGUUGGACUGCAUAGGGACCCACCAGUGAGAUGGACGCUGUCUGUAAACGGGGAAAUUUAUGGAAAGAUGUCCUCCUGCAACUGCUGAAAAUGCAACAUGCUGCCCAGGUCCUGCUCAGACCACUGACAACUCAGAAGUUAAUACUCAGAGUGGAAAGCGUAGCAAAGUGUAGUACAUGAGCAAGCGUUUCAAGCCAGACGGAGUUAAUCAUCUCUGUCACUGAAUUGGAGCUCACGGUCUGCUGGACAACUGUGCUGAGUGGAAAGGAAGCCUCGAUGGCUAAGUCACUUGUCCAACCUCAGACACUGGCAGAUCCAGGAUUCAAACAGCUAGACUCCAAAUGUGUUUCCUUUAACCUCUUUUCUACCUUUUCAACUUGAUUCCACACAUCACCACUGGGAAAGCUUAGGUGAGUAAGUCAUGUGGGCUUUGGUUUUUUCAUCUGCACGAUGGAUAGACUGAGACCUUCUUCCCUCAUGCCUCUGAGGAUGACAUAAAAAACCCACAAAAUCCCUAGUCCACUUACUUGCUCACAGAUAUUUACUGAGUGAGCAUCUGAUUUCCAUCCCAUUGUCACCUUCUCCCUAGCUGUCCAGACACCCUGCUUGCCUGGCCAAUGCCACCAAAGAAUGGAACCUGCUUUUGUUCCACACUCCGUAGCCAGAAAAAAGAGACAGUUGUUCUGGCAUGUUAUUGUUUGAUUUUAUUUUACCUCAGGGAUUAAAAAAAAUGACUAUCAAUUAUAGCAACAUCAGGUAGAGGGUUUGGUAUACAUUUCCGAUGAGCUUAGAUUUCUCUCAAAUUCUCAUACUUUUAAGAUUUAUUUUUAAAUGUGAGCAUUGAAACUUAACCAAUCCUUUAGACUCUUACUCAACAAGGGAUUCUAAAGAACAUUUCUCAGUAGGAAUUAAUCAUUUAUUUUGAAACUACAUAUCUAAUUUGUCUACUAUGGGAAGGAUAUGGAAAGAGAAAACCCAAUUCUUUUUAUUUUUUGGAACAGCUGGGUCCCCAAACCACCAGCAGCUGCUUCACAAAUUGCCUAGCCAUUAAGUAAUUAUUUCCUCAUCAUAAGAGCAGCUGGAAGAGCUAGUCUCUCUCCCUCCCCAGUGCAACUCCCACUUCCUUCUGCCUCCUCCACCCUGUCCUGAAAUGGGCAGGCCAAGAGGUAUACGGUAUUGGUUUUCUUUACGUAAUUGAAGACUGGAAUUGAGCACUCUGAUAGCUGAUUAUUUUUCAACAGCGCUUACCU